GUUGAACGCUGGCGGCGUGCCUAAUACAUGCAAGUCGAGCGGACACAGGCGUACCGUUGCCCUCUGAUGUUGGCCGCGGACGGGUUACUAACACGUGUACAACCUACCUAUAAGUCUCGGAGAACUACGUUAAACCGUAGCUCAUACCGGCUAAUAUUUUGAACCGGAUGGUUCAAGAGUUAAAGCCGGUGUUGCUGUCGCUUGUAGAUUGAUCCGCGCUUCAUUAGCUAGUUGGUAAGGUAACGGCUUACCAAGGCAACGAUGCGUAGCCGGCCUGAGAGGGUGAUCAGCCACACUGGGACUGAGACACGGUCCAGACUCCUACGGGAGGCAGCAGUAGGGAAUCUUGGGCAAUGGGCGCAAGCCUGACGCAGCAAUGCCGCGUGAGGGAUGAAGGUCUUCGGAUCGUAAAACGCUGUUGUAAGGAACGAACAGAUGUGUAAGAAAAUAGGCGCGUCUUGACGGUACCGAAUGAGAAAGCACCGGCUAACUACGUG
rnacentral:rRNA from 1 species